AAGCUGCCCUUGAAUUUCUCAUGUUCACUGUGGAUGCCAUGAAAAAGGCAUGCCUUCCCGGGCACAAGCAGGUAGAUCAUCACUCCAAGGACACCACCCUCAUCCACCAAAUAUUUGGAGGGUACUGGAGAUCUCAAAUCAAGUGACUCCACUGCCACGGCAUUUCAGACACUUUUGGCCCUUACCUGGACAUCGCCCUGGAUAUCCAGGAAGCUCAGAGUGUCAAGCAAGCUUUGGAACAGUUGGUGAAGCCCAAAGAACUCAAUGGAGAGAAUGCCUAUCAUUGUGGUCUUUGUCUCCAGAGGGCGCCGGCCUCCAAGACGUAAACUUUACACACUUCUGCCAAGAUCCUCAUCCUCGUAUGGAAGAGAUUCUCCGAUGUCACAGGCAACAAAAUUGCCAAGAAUGUGCAAUAUCCUGAGUGCCUUGACAUGCAGCCAUACAUGUCUCAGCAGAACACAGGACCUCUUGUCUAUGUCCUCUAUGCUGUGCUGGUCCACGCCGGGUGGAGUUGUCACAACGG